GACGGAACGCUGGCGGCGCGCCUAACACAUGCAAGUCGAACGGAGAUAAGGAGGAGCUUGCUCCACCUUAUCUGAGUGGCGGACGGGUGAGUAACGCGUGAGCAACCUGCCUUAAAGAGGGGGAUAACGUCUGGAAACGGUCGCUAAUACCGCAUGAAAUGUUCGGAUGGCAUCGUCUGAACAUCAAAGAUUUAUCGCUGAAAGAUGGGCUCGCGUCUGAUUAGAUAGUUGGUGAGGUAACGGCUCACCAAGUCGACGAUCAGUAGCCGGACUGAGAGGUUGAACGGCCACAUUGGGACUGAGAUACGGCCCAG
rnacentral:rRNA from 1 species